GAUGAACGCUGCGGCGCGCCUAACACAUGCAAGUCGAACGGUUAAAGCACCUUUUAGGUGUGUAUAAAGUGGCGAACGGCUGAGUAACACGUGGGCAACCUGCCCUCCUCUUGGGGAUAGCCUCGGGAAACCGAGGAUAAUACCCGAUACUUCAAUGUGGCCGCAUGACGACAUUGAGAAAGCUUUUGCGGAGAAGGAUGGGCCCGCGGCCUGUUAGCUUGUUGGUGGGGUAGAGGCCUACCAAGGCAAUGAUGGGUAGCUGGGUUGAGAGACCGACCAGCCAGAUUGGGACUGAGACACGGCCCAGACUCCUACGGGAGGCAGCAGUGGGGAAUCUUGCACAAUGGGCGAAAGCCUGAUGCAGCGACGCCGCGUGCGGGAAGAAGGCCCUCGGGUUGUAAACCGCUUUCAGCAGGGACGAGGCGAAAGUGACGGUACCUGCAGAAGAAGCCCGGGCUAAGUCGUAACAAGG
rnacentral:rRNA from 2 species